CUGGCGGCAUGCCUUACACAUGCAAGUCGAACGGCAGCACGGGAGCAAUCCUGGUGGCGAGUGGCGAACGGGUGAGUAAUAUAUCGGAACGUGCCCAGUCGUGGGGGAUAACGUAGCGAAAGCUACGCUAAUACCGCAUACGAUCUAUGGGAUGAAAGCGGGGGAUCGCAAGACCUCGCGCGAUUGGAGCGGCCGAUAUCAGAUUAGGUAGUUGGUGAGGUAAAGGCUCACCAAGCCGACGAUCUGUAGCUGGUCUGAGAGGACGACCAGCCACACUGGGACUGAGACACGGCCCAGACUCCUACGGGAGGCAGCAGUGGGGAAUUUUGGACAAUGGGCGCAAGCCUGAUCCAGCAAUGCCGCGUGCAGGAUGAAGGCCUUCGGGUUGUAAACUGCUUUUGUACGGAACGAAACGGUGAGCUCUAAUACAGUUUGCUAAUGACGGUACCGUAAGAAUAAGCACCGGCUAACUACGUG
rnacentral:rRNA from 1 species